UGUUCUUUAAACUUAAAGAAUUUGGCGGUGUUUUAGUCUAUUUAGAGGAACUUGUUCCUUAAUCGAUAAUCCUCGUUUUAUCUUUCUUUAUUUUGUUUAGUAUGUAUACCGCCGUUAUAAGUUUAUUUUUUUAGAAUAAAAAUUUACUUAAAUCUUUAUUUUGAUUUAUUUCAGGUCAAGGUGCAGCUUAUAUUAAAGUGGUAAUGAGUUACAAUAUUUUUGAAUAAAUGGAUUUAUUUUUUAAAAUAUUAAUGAAAGUGGAUUUAAUUGUAAUUUUUAUUAUAAUGUAAUUUUGAUUUUAGCUCUAAGAUAAGUACACAUCGCCCGUCGCUC
rnacentral:rRNA from 1 species